ensembl:lncRNA
AUUUUUUUUUUAUCUGGAGUUUUUAGUGGUUGUUUAUACAAAGACUGGUUCUAAGCUGGUCAUGUGCUGGAGAUAGUUGCUAAGGACCAUUUUAGGACCAGCUUAAUCCAGCAGCCAUGCUUCAAAACAUACCUAACCAGCAUAUGCUGCUUUUUUCAACAGGGGAUGACUUGCACAAUGAACUGUAAUGCCUGAUGUUAGAGAUUUGAUCAAAUGACUUACACUCAGUAUUAAUAUAUUAACAGCUUUUAUUGACCAGCACUAAUUUUCAGGUGUCAGACUCGCUCACGCUUUCCUCUCUCAUUGCACUCAGGCCAGAGAUCAUGUUGCUGGCGGGAAGUGAGAGUCCUCCAGAGAAACCUGAGGUCAAUCUGACACGAGAUCAGCAGCAGAGCAAACGGAGAGCUCUGAUUCUGCAGCCAAACCCCGCUGAUACUGUCAGCGCAGCGACACGUUGAGUGGAAAUGACCGCGGCGACGCCCUCACGCUGGGAUUCUUCUCUUCCCCUGCCGCAACAAUUGAUGUGAAGAUGAGCUCUUCAGACUGAUGUCUGGACACAUUUAUAAGACUUGGAGUCAAUAAAAUAGUCAAUACCUGCAGUGACUCUCCAACAUCUCAACAUCUUCAGCUCGUGCGACAGAAGAACUGAUUCAACCAGAAUAAUCAGUGUUGGUUUGGACGUCUCUCUUAUCUCCGGUGCUCUUCCCCUGUGGUUCCUGUCAAAUUCUUCAGCUCCUGAGACAGGAGAUCUCACACUCUUCACACGCGGCCCAUCUGUCAGCCGCAGCUCCAUGAUGAGCUCUGUUUCUUCAGGGAGACGGGCUGCUAAAAGCUUUUCAACACCAACAUCUCACCCUGAUCCCACAGAAAUCAAAGAGAGCAAAUCUCUCCUGUCGAAACGCAGUGGAUGUGAAGGAAGGAAGAGUGAGACUGUAGCUGAUCAAAGCAGAGUUAAUCACGUCCGAUCACAACAUGAGCAUGUGUGUUCAUAACUGCUUAUGAUCAUAUGCAGAUAUUACUACAGCAAACAAAUCUGCCUUGACUGAACAAGAGUAAUGUCAGGUUUUCAUAUCUGUUGCAUUUCUGAGCUCAUGCAUAAUAAAUAAACACAAGAAACAGAUACA